rnacentral:rRNA from 1 species
GACGAACGCUGGCGGCGUGCCUAAUACAUGCAAGUAGAACGCUGAAGGAGGAGCUUGCUUCUCCGGAUGAGUUGCGAACGGGUGAGUAACGCGUAGGUAACCUGCCUGGUAGCGGGGGAUAACUAUUGGAAACGAUAGCUAAUACCGCAUAAGAGUGGAUGUCGCAUGACAUUUGCUUAAAAGGUGCAACUGCACCACUACCAGAUGGACCUGCGUUGUAUUAGCUAGUUGGUGAGGUAACGGCUCACCAAGGCAACGAUACAUAGCCGACCGGAGAGGGUGAUCGGCCAAGCUGGGACUGAGACACGGCCCAGACUCCUACGGGAGGCAGCAGUAGGGAAUCUUCGGCAAUGGACGGAAGUCUGACCGAGCAACGCCGCGUGAGUGAAGAAGGUUUUCGGAUCGUAAAGCUCUGUUGUAAGAGAAGAACGAGUGUGAGAGUGGAAAGUUCACACUGUGACGGUAUCUUACCAGAAAGGGACGGCUAACUACGUG